rnacentral:rRNA from 1 species
UACGUAGGGUCCGAGCGUUGUCCGGAAUUACUGGGCGUAAAGAGCUCGUAGGCGGUUUGUCGCGUCUGCUGUGAAAACUGGAGGCUCAACCUCCAGCCUGCAGUGGGUACGGGCAGACUAGAGUGCGGUAGGGAGAUUGGAAUUCCUGGUGUAGCGUGGAAUGCGCAGAUAUCAGGAGGAACACCGAUGGCGAAGGCAGAUCUCUGGGCCGUAACUGACGCUGAGGAGCGAAAGCGUGGGGAGCGAACAGG